UCCCUGGUGGUCUAGUGGUUAGGAUAUGGCACUUUCACUGCUGCAGACUGGGUUCGAUCCCUGGUCUGGGAA
rnacentral:tRNA from 1 species